GACGAACGCCGGCGGCGUGCUUAACACAUGCAAGUCGAACGGUAAGGCCCUUCGGGGUACACGAGUGGCGAACGGGUGAGUAACACGUGGGUGAUCUGCCCUGCACUUCGGGAUAAGCCUGCGCAACUGGGUCUAAUACCGGAUAGGACCACCGCCUGCCGUGGCGGCGGGGGAGAGCUUUUGCGGUGUGGGAUGGGCCCGCGGCCUAUCAGCUUGUGGGUGGGGUGAUGGCCUACCAAGGCGACGACGGGUAGCCGGCCUGAGAGGGUGACCGGCCACGCUGGGAAUGAGAUACGGCCCAGACUCCUACGGGAGGCAGCAGUGGGGAAUAUUGCACAAUGGGCGCAAGCCUGAUGCAGCGACGCCGCGUGAGGGAUGACGGCCUUCGGGUUGUAAACCUCUUUCAGCACCGACGAAGCGCAAGUGACGGUAGGUGCAGAAGAAGGACCGGCCAACUACGUGCCAGCCGCCGCCGUAA
rnacentral:rRNA from 1 species